GAUAAACAGACAGACAGACAGACAGACAGACAGAGAAAACUAGUACAAGGAUAAAGAGAAAAUAGAAAGAGGUUAUAGGAAUAAGUUGAUAAGAAUAGAAGAAGCGUAUCAAGUAAAAAUAGAGGAUGGAGAAGAGUUAGGAUUAGAUGGGGGGGGGGGGGGGGAGAUAGAGGAAGAUAGUGAAGGGAAUGUGGGAGUAAUUUUAGUGAAAAGGAGUAUAAUAAGCAGAAAAGAGAGCAGUAGAGGAAAGAUGAAAUCAUGGAAUAACACAGGGGAUUUAUGGUAAGUGCAAAAGAUGUGAGUAUAGUAAAAAAGUUGAUUACAGAGAAAGAAAAAGAGGAAAGGAGACUUAAUAUAGUAAUCAAGGAUUAUAUAUAUAGCCAAGGGUCGGGAAAGAAGGUGAAAUGAGUGAUACAGAAGAAAGCAAGGUUUGAGCAGAAGAAUUUCUGAAAGAAAAAACAGGAGUGGAAUGUCAAAUGGAAAAGAGGACCUGUAACUAUUGUAAAAAUAGGAAAUGAAGAAGGAAAAAAAGAGGAGAAGAGGAAAAGGGAAUUUUGAAGAGGAUCUAAGAUGACAAUUUGAACUAGGAGAAGGAAGUGGUAAGGAAAUUAUGGAAAGAAAGAAAGAAAUUACUUCAAAAUAGAAAGGAAAGAAAGAAAGAGGAUAAGACACAUUCGGUAGAUGAAUAAGUUAAUGGAUGUUAUGUUAAAUGUGGAGUGAGGCAGGUUGGAGCAGGGGUCACGUAAGAGAAAAAAAUGAGUAAACAUAAGUAUAGUGUGGAAGAGUACACAUAAAUAAAAACAAAGGAGGUUUCUACAGGUUAUGAAAUAGAUUAUAAUAAAGAGAGAGAUAGAUGGAUGUAAAGAUACAUGUGUAGGUAGAUGUAUACAUAGUUGUAUACAUGUAUAUAAGUAUAUGUAUAUAAGUAAGGUAUAAGAGAGAGAAUAAGAUUUGUAUGUAUAUUGUAUUUAUAUGUCACUAUGAUAAUUCAGAACUGAGAUAAAAUAAAGUAACAUCGAUAAAAUAGAGAACAAGAAUAAAUAAGAAUAAGAAUAAGAAAUGAAAAUAAGAAUAUUAAGAAAUUUAUCUUUUUAGAGUUAAGUACUAGCAAUGUGGAAGGAUGAGUGUGGAUAAGGAAUUCAUGUAAACCAAGUCCUCUUCUUGGCUAUGUAAAUGCUGAAGUGUAAUAAAUUCUAUUCUAUUCUAUUCUAUUGUAUUUGUAUAUAUAUGUGUGGAUGGAUGAGUGUGAUAAGAAAAAAAACCAAACCCCCUUCUUGGUAAAUUUGUACACUGAAAUGAAUAAAUUCUAUUCUAUUCUACUA